rnacentral:rRNA from 1 species
GGCGAACGGUGAGUAACACGUGGGCAACCAACCCCAGCCUCUGGGAUAACCUCGGGAAACCGGGGCUAAUACCGGAUACUCUCGAUGGGUCGCAUGGCCCAACGAGGAAAGCUCCGGCGGACUGGGACGGGCCCGCGGCCUAUCAGCUUGUUGGCGGGGUAAUGGCCUACCAAGGCGUCGACGGGUAGCCGGCCUGAGAGGGUGUCCGGCCACACUGGGACUGAGAUACGGCCCAGACUCCUACGGGAGGCAGCAGUGGGGAAUAUUGCACAAUGGGCGCAAGCCUGAUGCAGCGACGCCGCGUGGGGGAUGACGGCCUUCGGGUUGUAAACCUCUUUCAUCAGGGACGAAGCGGAAGUGACGGUACCUGCAGAAGAAGCACCGGCCAACUACGUGCCAGCAGCCGCGGUAAUACGUAGGGUGCGAGCGUUGUCCGGAAUUACUGGGCGUAAAGAGCUCGUAGGUGGUUUGUCGCGUUGUUCGUGAAAACUCACAGCUCAACUGUGGGCGUGCGGGCGAUACGGGCAGACUGGAGUACUGCAGGGGAGACUGGAAUUCCUGGUGUAGCGGUGGAAUGCGCAUAUAUCAGGAGGAACACCGGUGGCGAAGGCGGGUCUCUGGGCAGUAACUGACGCUGAGGAGCGAAAGCGUGGGGAGCGAACAGGAUUAGAUACCCUGGUAGUCACGCCGUAACGGUGGGUACUAGGUGUGGGUUUCCUUCCUUGGGAUCCGUGCGUAGCUACGCAUUAAGUACCCGGCUGGGAGUACGGCCGCAGGUAAA